GCAGGACACCGGCCCCCGAGGCCUGGAGUUCGACACCUGUGUUUUAGACCAACGCUUGUGACUGAUUAAAGUUUGUCUGCACAGCAUAAGUUUGUGACCAGAUGGCAGGCUGCUGCUUAACUAUACUGAUGCAUGCGUGACAGAGAGCCGAGCUGGGCCAGGCCCCAGCAAAGAUAAAGUGAGGAUGAAAAUGUCAACAACAUGGCUGCAGCUCUUAGCCUGGAUGAUGAAGUGAUGCACUCGCGAUCGGUGGAGAGCUACAACGAGGAGAGCGAGGAUUUAAUGGAGGCAGUAAAAGAAAGCAGGGUUUACAGAUGAGCUGAAGAAGACAAAAUAUCCAGAGAACGGUUGUUCUCUAGGUGAAUAUGCUCUGUAUUAUCAGAGGAGAAUUGUUAGACUGCAUUGACCUGACAGGAAGGUUUAACCUUGGCCCUGCUGGAAGAGAGCCACAGAUCCCCGCAUUCGUCUUCCAGACAUUUAGUGACAUUGAUUUAGCAUUUAGCCUUUGUCUCCACUGUGCCACUCCAGUCUGAAUUGUAAUAUCUUCAUCUUCUACAUCCCAACCUAUUUUAUUGCAUCCAUAUAACUGGGUUUCUAAUGGGGCCUUAUUAGCAGGCCCUGUGCUCAGGGAAGACAUUUGAUCCUCACUGUAAACCCAGUAAUACUCUGUCACUGGCACGGCAAAACAAGUCCUCAGGACAAAUCCAAACUGCUCCCAGAAAUUAUUCAUCUACAAGCAAUUACCUGCUUACUUUUUAUGUCCCAUCAUCACAGUGCAAAAUUUAUGCUUGUGCCACAGGUGAUCCACAUGGAGCAGAUGAUGUGAUUAGAUUUUAGAGCAUCUUUCUGCAUAAAUCUGCAUGAGAUAAAACUGAUUUAUUAAAAAAUUCUCCCAAUUUGUAAUGAGAAAUCUCUCCUGCUUGGAUACACCUGUAAUCUGUCACUGCACUGGUCACGCAGUCUG